CUUCCGUAGGUGAACCUGCGGAAGGAUCAUUAU
rnacentral:rRNA from 4 species